AAAGUCCGGAUAUAACUCCUCUUGCAAUAAAUAGUACAGAAGUGGUGUAUAUACGGCUGAAAUGGAAAAUGAUAAAUGUUAUACUUAUAAUUACAUCUGAGUUGCAUACAUUGAACGCCUCCAAACUGAAUUGUUGAAAGAGAAUGUAAGAAAAUUGUCCUAAGUUUUUGCCUGAGAUUCAGAGUAAAUCGAGUUUCAAUAAAUAACGGCAGGGAAGUACCCGGAUGAAAAACCACUCAAGAUAUUUACACUCACGCAACUCCAGCUCUUUCUUUUUCUGUCUGCAUAUGCGUCUUGCUUAUCUUCGCUGCUACGAUAUAGUGGUCCUGCUCAGUAUUGGGCUCUCAGAGCGUACGCAGUUCAAGAAAUCGGAGAAAUAUCAUCGGUCUAUUACAACAUGAUCCACCAGAUUUUGAGUCUUUCGAUCAGGGACAGUCCCGUAGAUUCAUGUAUUUUCUUGUGCUGAAACCACAGACGACCAUAUCUUCCGCCCCGGCGAAAUCCCUUAACAUCGAACCAUUUCGGAACGUUCCCUUGGUCGCAUCGUCAUCAUCUUUUCAUCGAUUAUAAAGCUGUGUCCUUGGUAUUACAGAGCAAACUAGCGCUAGACAACAGCGGACACUUAAUACUGGAGAAAAUAAAAAGAUCUGCAGAGUAAAUGGAUCAGGCACAAUAUUUUACAAGGAUGUACACCUGCUGGCGUAUGUCGAUGACAUUGAUAUUGUAGGCCUUAACAACCGCGCCGUUACUUCUGUUUUCUUCAAGUUUGACAUAGAAGCAAAGUGACAACAAACAAACAGUCGGGGCAUUUAGGUCUCUGCUCUCGCGUCACUACUGACUCUUAGCUUCUAGAUUGUAGAUAAUUUCUUCUAUCUAGUGACCAACAUUAACACCAAUAAUAAUGACAGCCAUGAAAUUCAACGCAGAAAAAGGAACUACUUUAAACUGAGUAUGAUAUUGAAAAGUAAAGUCAUCUCUCGACGUAUGAAAGCGCUUUAGCUUUGAAAGUAUUCGAUGCAGUACCCGCUGGCGGAAGCAGAGCAAGAGGAAAACCCCCACUCUGUUCGAAAGAUCAACUGGAGAGUGAAAUUAAAAAUGUAAAUAAUUUAAUAAUAAGAAUUAAUAAGGAAAUUAAA
rnacentral:lncRNA from 1 species